UACGGGGGGGGCAAGCGUUGUCCGGAAUUACUGGGCGUAAAGGGCUCGUAGGCGGCCAACCAAGUCAGACGUGAAAUCCCUCGGCUUAACCGGGGAACUGCGUCUGAUACUGGAUGGCUUGAGUUUGGGAGAGGGAUGCGGAAUUCCAGGUGUAGCGGUGAAAUGCGUAGAUAUCUGGAGGAACACCGGGGGCGAAGGCGGCAUCCUGGGCCAGCACUGACGCUGAGUGAGCGAAAGCCAGGGGAGCAAACGGG
rnacentral:rRNA from 1 species